rnacentral:lncRNA from 8 species
AUGAUGAUGUAUUAUUUUCCAAGGCUCCGCACCAUGCGCUCUCACCACUGGUGUCCCCCAGGCUCUGUUCUAGGCCCUCUCCUAUUCUCGCUAUAUACCAAGUCACUUGGCUCUGUCAUAUCCUCACAUGGUCUCUCCUAUCAUUCCUACGCAGAUGACACACAAUUAAUCUUCUCCUUUCCCCCUUCUGAUAACCAGGUGGCGAAUCGCAUCUCUGCAUGUCUGGCAGACAUAUCAGUGUGGAUGACGGAUCACCACCUCAAGCUGAACCUCGGCAAGACGGAGCUGCUCUUCCUCCCGGGGAAGGACUGCCCGUUCCAUGAUCUCGCCAUCACGGUUGACAACUCCAUUGUGUCCUCCUCCCAGAGUGCUAAGAGCCUUGGCGUGACCCUGGACAACACCCUGUCGUUCUCCGCUAACAUCAAGGCGGUGACCCGAUCCUGUAGGUUCAUGCUCUACAACAUUCACAGAGUACGACCCUGCCUUACACAGGAAGCGGUGCAGGUCCUAAUCCAGGCACUUGUCAUCUCCUGUCUGGAUUACUGCAACUCGCUNNNNNNNNNNNNNNNNNNNNAAUUAAUCUUCUCCUUUCCCCCUUCUGAUAACCAGGCGGCGAAUCGCAUCUCUGCAUGUCUGUCAGACAUAUCAGUGUGGAUGAUGGAUCACCACCUCAAGCUGAACCUCGGCAAGACGGAGCUGCUCUUCCUCCCGGGGAAGGACUGCCCGUUCCAUGAUCUCGCCAUCACGGUUGACAACUCCCUUGUGUCCUCCUCCCAGAGUGCUAAGAGCCUUGGCGUGACCCUGGACAACACCCUGUCGUUCUCCACCAACAUCAAGGCGGUGACCCGAUCCUGUAGGUUCAUGCUCUACAACAUUCGCAGAGUACGACCAUGCCUCACACAGGAAGCGGCGCAGGUCCUAAUCCAGGCACUUGUCAUCUCCCGUCUGGAUUACUGCAACUCGCUGUUGGCUGGGCUCCCUGCCUUAGCCAUUAAACCCCUACAACUCAUCCAGAACGCCGCAGCCCGUCUGGUGUUCAACCUUCCCAAGUUCUCUCACAUCACCCCGCUCCUCCGCUCUCUCCACUGGCUUCCAGUUGAAGCUCGCAUCCGCUACAAGACCAUGGUGAUUGCCUACGGAGCUGUGAAGGGAACGGCACCUCCAUACCUUCAGGCUCUGAUCAGGCCCUACACCCAAACAAGGGCACUGCGUUCAUCCACCUCUGGCCUGCUGGCCCCCCUACCUCUGAGGAAGCACAGUUCCUGCUCAGCCCAGUCAAAACUGUUCGCUGCUCUGGCACCCCAAUGGUGGAAUAAGCUCCCUCACGACGCCAGGACAGCGGAGUCAAUCACCACCUUCCGGAGACACCUGAAACCCCACCUCUUUAAGGAAUACCUAGGAUAG